UACAGAGGUCUCAAGCGUUGUUCGGAAUCACUGGGCGUAAAGGGUGCGUAGGUGGCGUGGUAAGUCAGAUGUGAAAGCCCGGGGCUCAACCUCGGAAUUGCAUCCGAUACUGCCGUGCUAGAGUACUGAAGAGGUGACUAGAAUUCUCGGUUGUAGCAGUGAAAUGCGUAGAUAUCGAGAGGAAUACCAACGGCGAAGGCAGGUCACUGGGCAGUUACUGACACUGAGGCACGAAGGCCAGGGGAGCAAACGGG
rnacentral:rRNA from 1 species